rnacentral:tRNA from 1 species
GCCCUGGUAGCUCAGUGGUAGAGCACUACGCUUUCGUCAGUAGAGGAGGUCCGUUCGAUUCGGACCCGGGGCU